CCUACGGGGGGCAGCAGUGGGGGAUAUUGCACAAUGGGGGGAACCCUGAUGCAGCGACGCCGCGUGGGUGAAGGAGCGUUUCGGCACGUAAAGCCCUAUCAGCAGGGAAGAAGAUGACGGUACCUGACCAAGAAGCCCCGGCUAACUACGUGCCAGCAGCCGCGGUAAUACGUAGGGGGCAAGCGUUAUCCGGAUUUACUGGGUGUAAAGGGGGCGGAGGCGGCAAAUGAAGCCAGAAGUGAAAGCCCGGGGCCCAACCCCGGGGAUUGCUCUUGGAACGGUAAGGCUGGAGUACAGGGGGGGCAGGCGGAAUGCCUAGUGUAGCGGUGAAAUGCGUAGAUAUUAGGAGGAACACUGGUGGCGAAGGCGGCCUACUGGACUGUGACUGACGUUGAGGCUCGAAGGCGUGGGGAGCAAACAGGAUUAGAUACCCCAGUAGUC
rnacentral:rRNA from 1 species